rnacentral:rRNA from 1 species
UGGGGAAUAUUGCGCAAUGGGGGAAACCCUGACGCAGCAACGCCGCGUGAAUGAUGAAGGCCUUCGGGUUGUAAAGUUCUGUCUUAUGGGACGAUAAUGACGGUACCAGAGGAGGAAGCCACGGCCAACUACGUG